CAGCCGCAGGGCUCUGGGUCCAGCGUGGCCUUGAGUCUGAGCUCAGCAGGGCCCUGCCUGUGGUGGGCAGGAUGCUCAUGACCUGCUGCAGGGGGAGGGGCUGGCGGGGCUGAAGUCCCCCACACUCUGCUCAAAGGCUUGUGAGAGCCUGAGGGGUUGCCCCUGCCAGGAGAGAGGAGUGGGUUUUCAGGUCAAAGGCUCCAUGCAACAGGAAAGUCCAUGGGCCACUGGGACUGGGGCGGAUUGCAGGGGAUACCCUAAGACCUCACAGACUCUCUGGAGCUUGUCCCGGGCCAGGAGAACAGGGGAUUUAAUAAAAAGGGUCUUGCACCUGCAGCAAUGCUAUCCUCUUAUUCUCUUUGUCUUUGCAGGCUUUGCGGCCUCCUAUGAGCUGACUCAGCCACGUUCCGUGUCAGUGGCCCCAGGACAGACGGCCAGGAUUACCUGUGGGGGAAACAACAUUGGAAGUAAAUAUGUGCACUGGUACCAGCAGAAAUCAGGCCAGGCCCCUGUGCUGGUCAUCUAUUACAAUAGCAAUCGACCCUCAGGGAUCCCUGAGCGAUUCUCUGGCUCCAACUCUGGGAACACCGCCACCCUGACCAUCAGCGGGGUCGAGGCCGGGGAUGAGGCUGACUAUUACUGCCAGCUGUGGGACAGCAGUAAUAAACAUCCCACAGUGACACAGGCAGAUGGGGAAGUGAGACAAAAACACCCUCCCAGCCUCUGUCACCCUCUACUCCAGCCUCGGGAGGCCUGUGGAUAA